GAUGAACGCUGGCGGCGUGCCUCAAACAUGCAAGUCGAGCGGGGCUAUGUAAUAUCGCAAGGUAGAACGAUAGCCUAGCGGCGAACGGGUGAGUAACACGUGGGUAACCUGCCUGGAAGACAGGGAUAACGAUUCGAAAGGGUCGCUAAUACCUGAUAAUAUCCUUUCAUCGCAUGGUGAUAGGAAGAAAGGGGAAACCCGCUUUCAGAUGGGCCCGCGUCCCAUCAGCUAGUUGGUAAGGUAAAGGCUUACCAAGGCGACGACGGGUAGCCGGUCUGAGAGGAUGUACGGCCACACUGGGACUGAGAUACGGCCCAGACUCCUACGGGAGGCAGCAGUUGGGAAUCUUAGGCAAUGGACGAAAGUCUGACCUAGCGACGCCGCGUGAGGGAAGAAGGCCUUCGGGUUGUAAACCUCUGUCAUGGGGGAAGAAGUAAGUGACGGUACCCCAAGAGGAAGCCCCUGCUAACUACGUG
rnacentral:rRNA from 1 species